AUUGAACGCUGGCGGCAGGCCUAACACAUGCAAGUCGAACGGAUGAAGGGUACUUGCUCCUGCUUUCAGCUGCGGAGGGGUGAGCGAUGCCUAGGAAUAUGCGUGGUUGUGGUGGAUAGCGUCCGGAAACGGGCGCUAAUACCGCAAACGUCCAGAGGGUGAAAGUGGGGGAUCUUCGGACCUUACGUUAUCGGUUGAGUCUAGGUCGGAUUAGCUGGUUGGUGGGUUAAAGGGCUACCAAGGCGACGAUCCGUAACUCGUCUGCAGGGAUGAUCAGGCACCCUGGAACUGGAACACGGUCCAGACUCCUAAGGGAGGCGGCAGUGGGGAAUAUUGGACAAGGGGGGAAAGCCUGAUCCAGGCAGGCCGGGGGGGGGAAAAAGGUCUUCGGAUUGUAAAGCCCUUUUUGUUGGGAGAAAGGGCAGGAAGGUGAAAACUUCACGUUUUGACGGUACCAUAAGAAAAAGGAACGGCUAACUUCGUG
rnacentral:rRNA from 1 species